AUUGAACGCUGGCGGCAUGCUUUACACAUGCAAGUCGAACGGCAGCGCGGGGCAACCUGGCGGCGAGUGGCGAGCGGGUGAGUAAUACAUCGGAACGUACCCAGAAGUGGGGGAUAACGUAGCGAAAGUUACGCUAAUACCGCAUACGUUCUACGGAAGAAAGUGGGGGACCUUCGGGCCUCAUGCUUUUGGAGCGGCCGAUGUCUGAUUAGCUAGUUGGUAGGGUAAAGGCCUACCAAGGCGACGAUCAGUAGCUGGUCUGAGAGGACGACCAGCCACACUGGGACUGAGACACGGCCCAGACUCCUACGGGAGGCAGCAGUGGGGAAUUUUGGACAAUGGGCGCAAGCCUGAUCCAGCAAUGCCGCGUGAGUGAAGAAGGCCUUCGGGUUGUAAAGCUCUUUUGUCAGGGAAGAAACGGUCGGGGUUAAUACCUCUGGCUAAUGACGGUACCUGAAGAAUAAGCACCGGCUAACUACGUGCCAGCAGCCGCAGUAAUAC
rnacentral:rRNA from 1 species